GACGAACGCUGGCGGCGUGCUUAACACAUGCAAGUCGAACGGAAAGGCCCUGCUUUUGUGGGGUGCUCGAGUGGCGAACGGGUGAGUAACAAGUGAGUAACCUGCCCUUGACUUUGGGAUAACUUCAGGAAACUGGGGCUAAUAACGGAUAGGUGCUCCUGCUGCAUGGUGGGGGUUGGAAAGUUUCGGCGGUUGGGGAUGGACUCGCGGCUUAUCAGCUUGUUGGUGGGGUAGUGGCUUACCAAGGCUUUGACGGGUCGCCGGCCUGAGAGGGUGACCGGCCACCUUGGGACUGAGGUACGGCCCAGACUCCUACGGGAGGCAGCAGUCGGGAAUAUUGCACAAUGGGCGGAAGCCUGAUGCAGCAACGCCGCGUGCGGGAUGACGGCCUUCGGGUUGUAAACCGCUUUCGCCGGUGACGAAGCGUGAGUGACGGUAAUGGGUAAAGAAGCACCGGCUAACUACGUG
rnacentral:rRNA from 1 species